GAAGUAGCAUCGAUGCGAUGUCCACUUUAAUGAACUUACGGCUAGUUUGUUUUGCCGCUCUCUCUCGCGUUCUGUGCGGACCCGGUGCUGCUCCGCUCGGUCUGCCCUCCGGUUCUCCUGAUGGUCAACAUAGACAACAGUUUCCUCAGCAUCUACAUAAGAAAAGACAGCUGUGUCAGCUAUGACAGCAAUGCGAAGAUCCACAGCAUUGAUGCAAGACCCAAGAGAUACAGAGAAGCCCUGAAGACACGUCUGUUAUCACAAACAAAAAGGUAACAUUUAACUGAGGUAUCAGGGUAAAAGCCCAGGAGCCGAUAUGCAGACCGGAUCAUCUACAGGGAGGAAACCUGAUUCCCAUUUGGGCCGGCCGAGAGAGGGAGAGACUGAGAUUGCUAUUGUACUCCAAACAACAGCCCUUCUCAACAGCCUCAAACACAGGAACCUUUCUCUGCUUGAACACCGAAUGGAAUGUUUUAACUAUGGUUUUAGGAAAAACAGCAGCAAAAUCAUAGAAGAUUAAGUCUAUCGUGCAUGCUUUUUAAUCAUUAUGAAUAAUCAGAAGAAUCAUCAAAUGCCAUUUGUUAAGUGUCUCUAAAUAAUGUUGUUUUAUAUCCACCUGUAUUUAUACUGAGUCAUGCAUGCAUGUUUAAUAAAAUCGGCUAUUGAGUGAAACAUCACCGCAAUGCAUUUGAUCCCACAAUAGCAUAGAUUUAGUUUAUAGCCAUAAUUAUAGCUGUCCAAAAAAUCUGGAAGCUCAAUUCUGCCAUGUAGAAAAACAUCAUAAUAAUGACUUGCAAAUCAUGACAAAAAGUCAAAACUAAGAGAGAGGUCAUAAUUAUGAAAAAGAUUUUAUGACUUUUGAUGUCAAUAAUGACUUUUUAAUUUCAUAAUUUCGUUUAAUUUAAGAAUUUUGAUGAUUUGGCAUAAUUAUGAUUUCGAGUAUGAUUUUUUUUUUCUUAUGUGGUGGAAAUGACUUCAAUAAACGGUGAAAUGUUUUGUGUGAACAUCUUUUAGAAAUCUCAUAAUCAUGACAAAAAAAGCAUGAUUUUUUUCUUGUGUGGCAGAAAUGGGCCGAUAUAAAAGUUCAGAUGUUCUAUAUGAAAGUUGUUUAUUUAAAUGUAUCUUUUUAGCUAUUUCAAUAUGCUAGCUUUUUGUCUACACUAAAAAAGGUAUUUUGUCGGGGAAUCUAAAUUAUUUUAAUUUAGUAAAUGAACUAUUUAAGUGAAAAAAUUACUUAUUGUAAUAUUUGUAUAUUUUCUACUUUUAUAGGGUUUAUUUUGUGUGUUGUUUUGGGGUUUUUAUUUUAAAAUAAUGUUGGCUUAAUUGGUAAAGCUGUGAGUUUAAGACCUAACUCAGAUUUAGUGCAGAUUUAUUAUUUACAGAAAACCAAAACAGAUGAAAACUUACCCUCUUGCUCCCUGGACAGAAACAAACGAGAUAUGAACGUUAUUUUAACUUUUGCAAUCCCUAUAAAUGUGUCAAUGAUUGAACGUGUGUUUGUGAAUAAACUUCAUGCAUUUAUUCUCUAGUUACAGUACGUCCUACGCAAUGCAUAUAAAUGCUCUUAAAUGAAGCACAAAGACACUUACUCAUACUCA